rnacentral:ncRNA from 1 species
ACGGUUCCGGUUCACGCCCGUCGGAUCCCCCGGCGCAGCGACCCGGCGACC